GUGAUUGUUCCUUCCACUUCAGGGGCCUUGGGAGGAUGACCUAAGGCUGCUUUCUCCUGUCCUUACUUCCUCUACCCAGUGCUGUAACUACACAUGCAAUCAGCUGGUUCUUAUAAAGGAUGCUGACCAAUGCUGUGAUGUUGUCUUCAGGAAGCAGGGGGAUCUCCAAACAAGCUGCUGCUGCUUCUGAAUUAUGAGGCUUGCCAUGCUUCACUUCUUCAGUGGAUAGCUUUAUUUCUGCAAAGUGCAUAGAAUGAAGUUGUAGACUGCAGGCACUGAAAGACCUAAAUGAAUGUGUAAGAAUGACCACAAGGCACCAGGCGUGGGU
rnacentral:lncRNA from 1 species